UUGGCAAAGCCAUGCAUAAAACUCAUUCGGGAAAAAGCCGAAGGUACAGCGCCACGGGUGGCGAGUUUUGGAAGUGCUUCCAGAAAAAUUCCAGUGAAAACGUAAACAAAGUGUCCGCGAGUGAAAACAGCAAAUUGGCGAUGAAAAUCAUGUUUUCCAUUGAUUUUCCUCGCUAAUUAUGCUGGAAAAGUGCCGCAAAAUGUGUUAAAUCGCGUGUGGGUGUAUUUUGUGCAAAAAAUUUUCCGCAAAAAAGGAAAAUUUGCACAAAAACGGCGGUGAAAAAAAAACAGGAACCAAUUUACAAACAUCCUGCGCAGCAAAAUUCGCGAAAUUGCACAAAAUUCCGCGUGAAAAGCUACCUUCGAGGCGUUUCUGGCGACUUGGGAAGAUUGCUUUUCCGGCUUCUCCGUAUUUAAGGUACAUCGAGAAAUGAUGUCUCGCGUACUCUACAGAAGAGGGAAAGAUGAGACACAGAAGGACGAGAUGAAUGAGCGGAUCUUGCCACUACGGUUUCCCCAGCAUCGCGUCAACAUAGUCCCCGAGAUCAGGAUCGGACAGAUGAGGAUGAUCCGGUGGAUGUGGAGAAGAGCAAGAAGGUGGACACAAAUGAUGCAAUCGGUACGUCGGGAAAUGCCUCACGUGCCCCGCAGGUGAAAAGAUGGUGCACAGAGAGACGCGGAAUCAACGAAUCUUGCUGGUACGGAUUGCCCAGCAUCACGUCAAAAAUGUCCCCGGAUCGGACAGAUGAGGAAGAUCUCGCCUGUCCGCCCAAAAUUCUCUUCACUAAAUGUUUGAAUGAGACAAUCGGAACAUCAUCAAUCCGACACCAUGGUUGUUGUAAUUGGUCGUCUUAGGAUCCAGAAUAGAAUCUCCCAUGAUGGAAAGUGUCCUUAGCUCGUCAUCCAUGCUGGAUAAUGUGGACAUUUAUUUAUUAAGAUAGAUUUUUUAUAAUGUAGCCUCAUAUUUUGUUGUAGUCUUAUGUCUAUUUUGA